GAUGAACGCUGGCGGCGUGCCUAAUACAUGCAAGUCGAGCGAACGGACGAGAAGCUUGCUUCUCUGAUGUUAGCGUCGGACGGGUGAGUAACACGUGGAUAACCUACCUAUAAGACUGGGAUAACUUCGGGAAACCGUAGCUAAUACCGGAUAAUAUUUUGAACCGCAUGGUUCAAAAGUGAAAGACGGUCUUGCUGUCACUUAUAGAUGGAUCCGCGCUGCAUUAGCUAGUUGGUAAGGUAACGGCUUACCAAGGCAACGAUGCAUAGCCGACCUGAGAGGGUGAUCGGCCACACUGGAACUGAGACACGGUCCAGACUCCUACGGGAGGCAGCAGUAGGGAAUCUUCCGCAAUGGGCGAAAGCCUGACGGAGCAACGCCGCGUGAGUGAUGAAGGUCUUCGGAUCGUAAAACUCUGUUAUUAGGGAAGAACAUAUGUGUAAGUAACUGUGCACAUCUUGACGGUACCUAAUCAGAAAGCCACGGCUAACUACGUG
rnacentral:rRNA from 1 species